GCCCACCUAGGCCUUGAACCUACCCAUGUGGCACAUGUACAUCCCCAUGUACAGGCAGGUGCUUUAGGAUGUGAUGCCCACCUUCGUACUUAUUACUUGACAUAUGCAUAUGAAUCGCCUGCUGGUCUACAUUUCUUCAUGCCUAUGCAUGCAUGCAUGCAUGCAUGCAUGUGCAUGCAUAGGCAUCCAGCAGGCUAUUGGAGCCAUGUACAGGAGCUCGCAAACAUUAACGACGAAACUGCUAUAUGUCUGUAUCAACCAAUAAAGCUCAUUCAUGUCAGAACGGAAU
rnacentral:lncRNA from 1 species